rfam:Populus trichocarpa scaffold_5_contig_292, whole genome shotgun sequence.
UCUAGAACUCGAGAUAUGGGCUGAGCAUUGAACAGUGUCUGGGCUGCAGGACAGAUUCGGACUUCUCUGUUGUUGCUAUAAUUUGGACUUGAAAAUAGCUUUUUUAAAUCUUCGACUCCACAUGAAAGUUUUAGGCAUAUGUCUUAGCUUUCCAUC